rnacentral:rRNA from 1 species
GAUGAACGCUGGCGGCGUGCCUAAUACAUGCAAGUCGAGCGAACAGAUGAGGAGCUUGCUCCUCUGACGUUAGCGGCGGACGGGUGAGUAACACGUGGAUAACCUACCUAUAAGACUGGGAUAACUUCGGGAAACCGGAGCUAAUACCGGAUAAUAUAUUGAACCGCAUGGUUCAAUAGUGAAAGACGGUUUUGCUGUCACUUAUAGAUGGAUCCGCGCCGCAUUAGCUAGUUGGUAAGGUAACGGCUUACCAAGGCAACGAUGCGUAGCCGACCUGAGAGGGUGAUCGGCCACCCUGGAACUGAGACACGGUCCAGACUCCUACGGGAGGCAGCAGUAGGGAAUCUUCCGCAAUGGGCGAAAGCCUGACGGAGCAACACCGCGUGAGUGAUGAAGGUCUUCGGAUCGUAAAACUCUGUUAUUAGGGAAGAACAAAUGUGUAAGUAACUAUGCACGUCUUGACGGUACCUAAUCAGAAAGCCACGGCUAACUACGUG